rnacentral:rRNA from 1 species
CCCAUUGCCGCGUGCUAUACAUGCAAGUCGAGCGGACCGACGGGAGCUUGCUCCCUUAGGUCAGCGGCGGACGGGUGAGUAACACGUGGGUAACCUGCCUGUAAGACUGGGAUAACUCCGGGAAACCGGGGCUAAUACCGGAUGCUUGAUUGAACCGCAUGGUUCAAUCAUAAAAGGUGGCUUUUAGCUACCACUUACAGAUGGACCCGCGGCGCAUUAGCUAGUUGGUGAGGUAACGGCUCACCAAGGCGACGAUGCGUAGCCGACCUGAGAGGGUGAUCGGCCACACUGGGACUGAGACACGGCCCAGACUCCUACGGGAGGCAGCAGUAGGGAAUCUUCCGCAAUGGACGAAAGUCUGACGGAGCAACGCCGCGUGAGUGAUGAAGGUUUUCGGAUCGUAAAACUCUGUUGUUAGGGAAGAACAAGUACCGUUCGAAUAGGGCGGCACCUUGACGGUACCUAACCAGAAAGCCACGGCUAACUACGUGCCAGCAGCCGCGGUAAUACGUAGGUGGCAAGCGUUGUCCGGAAUUAUUGGGCGUAAAGCGCGCGCAGGCGGUUUCUUAAGUCUGAUGUGAAAGCCCCCGGCUCAACCGGGGAGGGUCAUUGGAAACUGGGGAACUUGAGUGCAGAAGAGGAGAGUGGAAUUCCACGUGUAGCGGUGAAAUGCGUAGAGAUGUGGAGGAACACCAGUGGCGAAGGCGACUCUCUGGUCUGUAACUGACGCUGAGGCGCGAAAGCGUGGGGAGCGAACAGGAUUAGAUACCCUGGUAGUCCACGCCGUAAACGAUGAGUGC